rnacentral:rRNA from 1 species
UGAGUUUUAUUCUGGCUCAGAAUGAACACUUGUAAAAUGCUUAACACAUGCGAGUUAAACUUUUUAUUUUUAAAUACAGUAGCGUACUGGUGAGUAAUACCUUAAAAUAUACCUUUUAGUUAAAUUAAAAAUUUGUAGAAUAAGUCUUUUUAUUAAAAAUUCUGCUGAAAGAUUAUUUAUUGAAGAUUAGGUAGUCGGUAUUUUAAAAAUUAUCGAGCCCACAAUCUUUAACUGAUUUUUAACGAAGGAUCAGUCACACUGGAAUUGAAAAAAGGUCCAGGCUAAAAUUUUAGCCAGCAGUGAGGAAUAUUGGGCAAUGAACAAACGUUUGACCCAGCAAUUUUACUUGAAUGAAGACGGCUUUCAAAGUUGUAAAAUUCAAUUUUUUUAAUUACAAUGAUUUAUUAAUUAAAUAAAGUCUCGGCUAAUACUCGUGCCAGCAGCCGCGGUUAUACGGGAGAGACGAGUGUUAUUCGUCGUAAUUAGGUGUAAAAGGUCAGUAGAUGGUGAUAUAAGUUCAAAGAUAAAAAUAAAAAGAUAAACUUUGUAACACUUUGAAAACUAUUUCACUAGAGUUUAGUAUAGAAGAGCAGAAUUUUAUAAGGAAAGGUGAAAUUUGUCGAUUUAUAGAGGAAUACCAAGAGUGAAAACAGCUUUUUAAUAAAAACUGACGUUGAGUGACGAAAGUAUAGGUAGCAAACAGGAUUAGAUACCCUGGUAGUCUAUACCUUAAAUUAUAAGUGCUAAAAUUUAAAGCAACUAUUUAAAUUUUAAAGCUAACGCUAUGAGCAUUUUACCUGAGAAGUACGGUCGCAAGACUAAAACUCAAAGAAACUGACGGGGAGAAAGUACUAGUGGUGGAGUAUGCGGUUUAAUUCGAUAACCCACGUUAAAUCUUACCAAGUUUUGAAUAAUUUUACAGGUGCUGCACGACUGUUAGAAGCCCGUGUCUUGAGACGUUAGAUUAAUUUCUUUUAACGAGCGAAACUCCUAUUUAAAUAUUAAUUUUUAAUAUUGUUUAAAAAUUAUUUACGAUAAGUUUAAAAAAUGGAACUAAAACAAGUCAAUGUGACCCUAAUAACUUGGGCUACACGUGUGCUACAAUAAAAAUUACAAAAAGUAACGAUUUUAAUAAAACAAUAGUUAUUCUUGAAAAAUUUUUUCAGUUCGAAUUGUAAAUUGCAAGUCAUUUACAUGAAGAUGGAAUCACUAGUAAUCGCAAAUAACAAUGUUGCGGUGAAUUGUAAAUUUCUCUUGUACAUACCGCCCGUCACAUGCUGAAAUUUUAAUUUUUUUUAAGGUUUUUAUUUUUCCUAUUAAAAAUUAAAAAAUUAGGAUGAAGUCGUAACAAGGUAGCUGUACAGGAAUGUGUAGCUGGAAAAUAUUGAAAA